rnacentral:pre_miRNA from 1 species
UAUAUACUCCCUCCAUUCCAAAUUAGUUGACAGAUUUGUCUAGAUACGGAUAUAUCUAGAUAUGUUUUGGUGUUAGAUACAUCCAUAUCUAGAUAAAUCCAAGUCAGCUAAUUUGGAAUGCAAGGUGAUUUA